AUACGGAGGAUCCGAGCGUUAUCCGGAUUUAUUGGGUUUAAAGGGAGCGUAGGCGGGAGAUCAAGUCAGCUGUGAAAUGUAGAUGCUCAACAUCUGCACUGCAGUUGAAACUGGUUUUCUUGAGUGCGUAAGGGGCAGGCGGAAUUCGUCGGGUAGCGGUGAAAUGCUUAGAUAUGACGAAGAACUCCGAUCGCGAAGGCAGCCUGCCGGGCCGCGACUGACGCUGAAGCUCGAAGGUGCGGGUAUCGAACAGGAUUAGAUACCCUGGUAGUCCGCACGGUAAACGAUGAUUACCCGCUGUCGGCGGUAGACAGUCGGCGGCCAAGCGAAAGCGAUAAGUAAUCCACCUGGGGAGUACGCCGGCAACGGUGAAACUCAAAGGAAUUGACGGGG
rnacentral:rRNA from 1 species